AGUAAAAAAGACAAGGAAAUAUAGAGGCUUCUUGGAGCAUUAUAACACUAAUUCUCUGCAAGAGUUCAGUGAACUUCCCAAGGUUGGUGGAUUUUUCCACCAGUUUACCUAAUCUUAGAUGUAACUUGGGGUGCAAAGAGUUCCACAGAUGAGGGGUAUAAUAAGAAAAGGACCUAGCCCCAGUGACCUUGGUCCAUAGCCAAACUACAGACAGAAGAGUCUCUGAAGCAAAGUUGAAUGUGCACCCUGAAAUUUAAGAAACCAAAAGGUCCCUAAGGUAACUAGAAGCAAGGCCAUGAAGAGCAUUAUAACUUAGAAUGAACAGGAUGAACAUACCCACCUUAUGUCUAAUCCUUAGCAAGGAAAAAGGUUGUUUUAUUGGAAUUGUGAAGUCAUGAAAGAAUCACAGGAAGAUACCCUCAGCACCUUGGAUAAUGAGUGGAAGAUAAAGAGAAAGCAAAAAGAAUGUGGCAUAUAAAGGGUGUAAUACCUGGAGGUAUUAACUCU